UUUGGUAGGCGGCGUGAAGAAGAAGGAGAAAUAUAGAGAGUAUAACAAAAUUAAAAUUAAAAGUACUUUUUGUGUUCAAAAUUAAAAGUACAGAAAAAACAAAUAAACUGUUGGAAAACCAGAUCUUAUGAUUGAUUUUGUGAGAAUAAAUUAUUUUUUACAGCUUCAAAAAUGAAAUAAAUGGGAAGGAAAUAGACAAAAAGAAUUAAAUUAAAGGAUGAAUUGGUGAAAUGACCAAAAAAACAAACUAAAACUAAGAAAUUAACCAUAAGCUAUAGAGAAGUAUAGGAAUGAUAAGGAAUAGAGAGAGGAGGAAGUUUGGUUAGUUUCUUAAUUUUAAUUUUUUAUGGUUAUUGGGCCAAAUUUC
rnacentral:lncRNA from 1 species